GAUGAACGCUGGCGGCGUGCCUAAUACAUGCAAGUCGAGCGAAUGGAUUAAGAGCUUGCUCUUAUGAAGUUAGCGGCGGACGGGUGAGUAACACGUGGGUAACCUGCCCAUAAGACUGGGAUAACUCCGGGAAACCGGGGCUAAUACCGGAUAACAUUUUGAAAUGCAUGGUUCGAACUUGAAAGGCGGCUUCGGCUGUCACCUAUGGAUGGACCCGGGUCGCAUUAGCUAGUUGGUGAGGUAACGGCUCACCAAGGCAACGAUGCGUAGCCGACCUGAGAUGGUUAUCGGCCACACUGGGACUGAGACACGGCCCAGACUCCUACGGGAGGCAGCAGUAGGGAAUCUUCCGCAAUGGACGAAAGUCUGACGGAGCAACGCCGCGUGAGUGAUGAAGGCUUUCGGGUCGUAAAACUCUGUUGUUAGGGAAGAACAAGUGCUAGUUGAAUAAGCUGGCACCUUGACGGUACCUAACCAGAAAGCCACGGCUAACUACGUGCCAGCCGCCGCGGUAA
rnacentral:rRNA from 1 species